rnacentral:lncRNA from 1 species
CAGAAAUGCUCCAGUCCAGAGCACCAUGUGUACUUUUUAUACAUGAAGCUUCAGCAAGUGUUGCCUUCUUCAUUUACUUCAAUGGAUUCUCAACAAAUCAGUAAGAUCGGGGGGGGGGGGUUGUAUUUCUAUUAUGGAAGCAACUGGGGUGGUUGGUUUUUUGUUUGUUUGUUAAUUAGGUUGCUAUUUUGCGGGAUUCGUUGCUGGGAAUAGUAAAUAUUCUGAGUUACUUGUAAAUUUGCCAGGUUUGAUAUUUAGCAAGGGGUUGGAUUAGAUAAGACUAAGGGGAGUCCUGCUGGAGGGAGGAAGCCUUUUCUCUAUUCACUUUUGUAAAAAUAAAAAUAAAAGUACAGUGGUACCUCGGGUUAUGAACUUAAUUUGUUCCGGAGCUCUCUUCUUAACUUGAAACCGUUCUUAACCUGAGGCGCACUUUCGCUAAUGGGGCCUCCCGCUGCCUCCCGCUGACGGCGUGCGAUGUCCGUUCUCAUCCUGGGACAAAGUUCGCAACCUGGAGCAACUACUUCCGGAUUAGCGGAGUUUGUAACCCAAAGCGUUUGUAACCCAAAGGGUUUGUAACCCAAGGUACCACUGUACGUGCAUUUUCUCUUUUUUUCAGGUUGUGUUUUCUACAGAUCAGUUACAUUUGUUGUGAGACAUUAGUGUUGUAUGCAGUAUUCAUAGUUUUAUAGCCUUCUGUUUUGUCACCUAUUACUCACCUUUUCUGUAAACUAGAAAGCCCCAACUGCUGCAACCUUUCCUCAGAGCAGUCGCUCCAUUCCCUUGAUCAUUUCUGGUUGCCCUUUUCUGAACCUUUUCCAGCUCUACAAUAUCUUAUUUGAGGUCAAGACCUCCAAGGUCCCUUCCAACGCUUUGAUUCUAUGAAGUGUGGUAAAUAAAUAGAACUUCAUGCAUUCAGUAUAUUAAUAAUCUAAAACAAAUUUUAGCAGGUGAGGGCAUUUUUUGACUACAGAACAGUUUAACUUAGUGGAUUGUUUGUCUAUUUUUUGAGGCUGAUUAACUGUAAUAAGGAAUUUUUUAAAGGGGAGGAGGAGAGAGAAAUGAGGUGGCUAUUCCUCCCCAAAUGAAUGUCAGUGUUUAUUAAAUUGCAAGCUGUCUUCAGUAGCUUCAAAAGGCACUUGUAUUGAAGUUUUUUAUAAGAGGCAGAUUUAUUUCCAGGUUAAAAGACAGAUCUGCUUGAUCAACUCAAUAUUCCUGAAUUGAUCAACAGUCCCAAUAAACAAUUUAGUAAGUGGUGGGGAUCAUCUGCACGUGACUUUCCCAUCAAAAUGACACUAUGCAAUGCUACAAGGCUGUAUUCACUUGUUAAUGCUAAAUAUUGUUGCUUUUGAUUAUGUAUUUCAUGGUUUUGUAUUCUGAUUUUAUCCUGUGAACCGCCCUGAGACCUGUGGGUAUAGGGCGGUAUAUCAAUUCAACAAACAAACAAACAAACAAAGGCUAAUAUGCAUCAAACAUUUGCCUCUCCCCACAAUCCUAAAAGAAACUAACACUGAAAUAGUUCUCUGGGAUUUGCUAGGAGGAAUGUGGAAAAGACCUGUCCUCUCCCCCUUUGAAAAAAAAUCAAUGUGUGUGUGUGUGUGUGUGUGCUGUGGGAAUACAGAAUGUUGUAUUGAACUCUGUGUCAUAAUUCAAUGUGCAUUUCAUCCAGUACAGAGGGCCCACAAAGAAACAUGGUUAUCCCCAUACCUACGGGAAAACCCCCUGAAGAUAAAAUAUACAGUUGUACCCUUGGUUCUCAAAUGCCUUGGUACUCAAACAACUUGGAACCCAAACACUGCAAACCCGGAAGUAAGUGUUCCGGUUUGCUAACUUUUUUUUGGAAGCUGAACAUGCUCCGUUUUGAGUGCCACACUUCCGUUUUGAGUGUUACGCUGAGGUUUGUCUGUUUUUCCUUUCUAUUUUGCGUUUUUGUUUUUACAGCUCUUUUUUGUUUGUUUUUGUGACUUUGUGGCCUCGGCAGGCCAGGAACUAGUUCCCAUGCCUUGUUCCUCUCUAAGGAAUCAAGUUCAGCCUUCAUGGCAUUUAACCAUGGCUCAGCAUCCUCUGAAGUUAAACUUUGGACCCAAUGGAAGCUGGGCAGACUGCAGGCCUUGACAGGUUGGGUUGUCCUCUUAUAUACCUGCUGGGAUUGACAAGGCAUCUCACCCUCACCUGAAUCUGAUAGCUCUCCUGUAGCUGCCUCUGAUUAGUUAUCAUUUAACUCUUGGGGGAAAUAAUUAGCAUCACAUGUCAUGUGCAUGGAAGUUGCCGAACCAAUUAACCAAGUAGAAGGAUUACUGUUAAUAUCACCAGUUUUCCUAUAACUUGCUAUUGCUGGAUAGUUUUGAUGAACUGCAAAAGCAUUUUUAGUUUGCUUUCUGUUGCCACCCUAGAACUUUUCUUUAUUAGUGCCUUUUUCCUUUGUAUGAUUCCUUGCAAAUGAAGGAAAACAACUUUUCUGCUUGUAUAGGUUGAUAAUAUAAUAUUGGUUACUGAGGACAAACAAGAUUGUACAAAAACAAGGUUGGGUGCAGGUCUGACCAGGACGUAGGCGUCCUGACUCUGACAAAGGUGACCUGUGGGCUUGCUUGCUUGAUUAACAGCUGUUGGGAACGUAAAGGUCCCUGCUCUCCCUUCUUAUGGUCUUUGUACUGGACCUGGAGACUCCAAUAGAGAGUAUUCCAUGUCAAGAAGGGCAAGUGGGCACCCUAUCAAAUGACAGGGCAGGAGUUACACAGAGCAGGGCCUUUUCACGGGUAGUGCCCAUUGUAUGCUUUGCUCUUCCCAGACCUGCUCUCUUUUGGCCUGCAUUUUGGAGCUUUAUAAUUUAGGAAAACUUUGUAAGAACUGGUUGACAAGUCUUAUCAGUUGAUGACGUAUGAGCGGAUUUUAUUUGCUGCUAUUCUGGGCUUCUGAUGCACCAGGGUUUACACCAGCAUAAUAGAGUUGGCCAGGAUGCCAGAAGGGAUACAAGUUACGAGCUUUCUCCAUUAUCUGCACAGCAGGGAGUGUUCAGUCAACAGCGCAAAGGCUGAGCUGAAGCAUUUCCUGCUGGUUACCUGCUUUCAGCAAUAGGGGUCGCUGUUUGGUAGUACCCAAUUGGUUAGCUGUCAGAUUCUAGAGCUCCCUAUUGGUGGCUCUUAGGUAGUUCACAAAAUACAGAGUCCAUUCAUAAAACACAGUGUUCAUUCAUAGAGCAGUAAUAUAAAUCUCCAUUGCUACAUGUUGGGUGUAUAUUUCAGCAGUUGAACGUACAAGUUUAUGGCCAUGCUGUAGUUUGGUGCUUAUGCAACUGUGAAUAAAAGGUGGCUGGGCUCAUUGUCUCGGGGUUUGGGGGGGGGAAGAGGUGACAAAACUGAUAUCCAAUAAGUGCCCCCCCUUAUUUCCACAACAAGUCCUUGAGCUUGUACUCUGAAUGGUGACACCAGGGACCUAGAAGGUGCAGGACUUGUCAAUCCAACCCCUGCACAGUCUCAUCAGGGCUGACCUUAAGGCAAUUGGAGCAAUUGGGCCAAAUUGGGCCCCGUGGGCCGCUCCUAUGCAGGCCGCUGCACCAGGGCAAUCUAGAUGGAUUUUAUUUAUAUCCAUAAGAUUUUGCAGACUUUGGCUGUGAACUGGGGCCCUACAAAAGAAAAAAAAUUCAAGUUGCGCCCCAGUGCUUCAAAUUGGGCCCCACUGGCUAGCCCUGAGUCUCAUAGUUGCUGGGCCCGAAUUGCCCUGCCCUCGCAUGAAGUAUAGGGUUUGCAGUUUUGGGAGAGGGGAGACUGCCUGCUGGGGCGCGGGAAGGCUGGUGAGGCCCCUUAGAUUUAGAGGCCCUAGGCUUCAGCCUACUUAACCUAUACAUAAAUCUGGCACUGGCGCUGGGGGAUGUGUGACCUGUGAGCUAUAUUAGGCUCACCAGACCUCCCCAUUUGGCCCUUGAGUCCAGGGUGGCCAAAUCAUGUCCCUCAAAGGUGUCCCUUGCUCUUUCUUAGCGAUUUGAGGCUAUUUAGCUGCAGUUUCCCUCCUGCAAGAGAUGUGGCUUGCAGCUUGGCCACGACUGAAUGAGGUUUAGUCCUUCUGACUCUGUCAACCCUCUCCUGCCCAAACAAAAGCUUAUUCACGACAGAUAGUCAUCCUGCGAUAAUAUAGAUACCGAAUUCCUGAAUAAAUCCCUCGCCAGGUGACUUCCCAGUUGUAUACUCAGUGAGGACUUCAAAGUGCAUUGCCUGACUUGCUGUAAGAGUGAUGCUGUUCCAAGACUGUACAUUAAUGUCACAGUUUCCCACCAUCUCUGCAGCUCGGGGGGGGGGGCAGACUCCAUAGAGCUGAAAAGUGCAGCCCUCUCAUUUCAAAAAGGGGCUUCGGUUUUUUAAUAUUGUAUAUUAAAGGUAUCAAGUCCUGCAUUGUCAUGUUAGGUAGCCCCAAACAGUGAAUGAACCCAGCUCUGCUCUAGCUGCUGGCACACUAUAGCUUUAUAGCACAGUCCAAACACAUUUCCCGCCUCAAAGAAUUCUGGGCACUGUAGUUUGUUCAGGGAUGCUGCGAAUGGUAGCUCUGUGAGGGAUAAACCACAGUGCCCAGAAUUCUUUGAGGGCAAGAUUGUUCUUUAAACAUGCUUUAAAGGUAUAGUGUGUACACAACCUGUGAAUGCCGUGUGAACUGACCUUUUCUCCAUGGGUGUAGCCAGGAUUUUUUCAGGGCGUGGGCAGGCUUUAUGUUAGGGGGAGGAAGAAGCAAGUUAUCUGCGACACAACUGAUCAAUUUCUUAAGUAUUUUAAUUUGUUUACUUGAUUGGGGGAGCAGAUCCCCCUGCCCCCUGGCUACGCCCAUGCCUUUCUCCCUUGUUUGUAUUUUCAGUUCCUGUGAAGUCACCCAGAAGUGAGGACGACUAGGAAGGUCUGGAUCCAUGCCACCCACUUGGAUCCAGGGCUACGUUUUUACCGAGCAACUAAGAGUCUGAAUCCAAGCGAGGCUUCCAAGCAAGAAUGAUUUCCAAGCAAGAAAUGCGUUUCCACAGCAUCAUGAGCUAAUACUCUAGUGGGGUUGCAAAAUACAGGGGAGUUCAGCAAUGGGGAACCAGCUGUGUUUCAGAGAAUCUUGCUCACUGAUCUCAUCAAGGGCCAGGUUCAGUUUCCAAGGAAUCCCAGUAUUCCCAAAACAAUCGUUUGAAAACCACUGAUUGCUCCAAAGGUCGCUGUGAACUAUGUAAUGAUGGCUCUGAGAAUCCCUUGUAGAAAAGCUAUCAUUCAACAACAACAACCCUACUUGCCUGCCUGCAAGCCACCAACCACAAGACCUGCUUUGUCUUGCUGUAAGAGACGGUGAGCUUUCUGAGCUAUGACUGUAUUACUGUUGUGAAUAACACUGAAGUAGCACUAAACUUAUUUUAUUUUUUAUACCCCACCC